AAGGAUCAUUAAAGAGUUAGGGUCCUCGUGGCCCGACCUCCAACCCUUUGUUUAACUAUACCACGUUGCUUCGGCGGGCCCGUCUCCUUCGGGAGACCGCCGGAGGGUCUCACCCCCCUCUGGUCCGUUGCCUGUCGAUAGCCCCAACCACAAACUCUUGAUACAAACCAUGUCGUCUGAGUCUAAAAUUUUAAUUAAAUUAAAACUUUCAACAACGGAUCUCUUGGUUCUG
rnacentral:misc_RNA from 1 species